GGUGUUCCUGGGAUUGACACGGGGAGAUUCCACCAGGACAAUAAGGGUGUAGGGUGCUGUGUGAUGUCCCACAAGUGUCCAGAGCACCAGGAAAAUCAGGCAAACUCUUAACCUUCAUUGCUACCCAGGCAGAGCUCUGGCCUAUUGUGCCAGUCAGUGACUUUGCCAAGGACUCUGGUGAAAUGCACGGAGGAGACUCCACUGCGCCCAGAGUGGGUACCAGGAUGUGAUGAUAUUCUUGAAUAGUCAUUCAAGAAUAUUUUUAUGGAAUAUCUUUAGUGCAAGUGUCCCUCUGUGAAGCCAGCAUGCCUCUGAGCCAGAUGAUUAUGGACUGAAAUUUCUACAACCCGUGAGGUAUAGAAAUAUUUCCCCCUUUUAACUUUGGGUUUUAUGUGUUGCCUCAGCAAUGAGAAAAUUAAC